AAAAAAAAAAAAAAAAAACUGAAACUUGUGGGGGAAAUUGCAUACCCCGUAUUACAUGUUAAUUAUUUAGGAUGGCAAGAACACCAUUUAUUUAUUUCCCCCCUCCGAUUCCCAACGAUUAGAAACUUCAAACGUUCUACCUAACUGCAUACCCAAGAUUGUAAGCAUAUUUGACGAGAUCGUCUAACUCUGACAAGUCGAUUGCUCCAUCUCCAUUGGCAUCAGCAAGUUUGAGUGCUUUACGGGCCUUUUGUGCUGGGAACAUUGCACCAAGAUAUUGGAAAGCUUGUCUGAUCUCUUCUCUGCUAAGAACAUUGUCUCGAUUCAGAUCGAACUGCAUGAAAACUUGCCUCACUUGGUCUUCAGUGAAGGGAACAGAAGCAGCUUUGUAGUUGUGCACGGCGAAGGGAUUCCAGGGAGGAUAACUUGGAGGUGGCAGUGGAGGUGGAUUGCUUGGAAACCAAGCACCUUGUGGAGCAGGAGGACAUGGUGGUGGUUGUGGUGCCCAGCAAGCACCAGGUGCUGGCCUCUCCUGAUAUAUUGGCGGACUGUUUGGGGGAUAAAAAGCAGUAUAAUUUUGUUCUUGGGGAUAGUAUUGAGCAGGAUAAUACAUGAUUUUCAAGUGCUGAGGAAGAGGGCCUAAAACAGGUUUUAUGUUUGUAGUUUUCUUGAACUUGCGAUC
rnacentral:misc_RNA from 1 species